rnacentral:rRNA from 1 species
AACGAACGCUGGCGGCAUGCCUAACACAUGCGAGUCGAACGAGACCUUCGGGUCUAGUGGCGCACGGGUGCGUAACGCGUGGGAAUCUACCCUCAGGUUCGGAAUAACUCAGAGAAAUUUGAGCUAAUACCGGAUGAUGACGUAAGUCCAAAGAUUUAUCGCCUGAGGAUGAGCCCGCUUAGGAUUAGGUAGUUGGUGAGGUAAAGGCUCACCAAGCCGACGAUCCUUAGCUGGUCUGAGAGGAUGAUCAGCCACACUGGGACUGAGACACGGCCCAGACUCCUACGGGAGGCAGCAGUGGGGAAUAUUGGACAAUGGGCGAAAGCCUGAUCCAGCAAUGCCGCGUGAGUGAUGAAGGCCUUAGGGUUGUAAAGCUCUUUUACCCGGGAUGAUAAUGACAGUACCGGGAGAAUAAGCUCCGGCUAACUCCGUG